GGCCCCUAUGGUCCAGCGGUUACGACCUCUCUUUUUCACGGAGAAAACGAGGGUUCAAGUCCCUCUGGGGGUAUACUAAGACUCAAGACGAUAGGAGUGGGAUUUUCUAUCAAGUGAUCUAUAUUUGUCAAGUCCUUCUAAUAGUCUACUCAGUGGGACUUUGUAUUUUAGAUCAAGUGAUAUGUAUUUAUCAAAUCUGCCUGGGGACAAUAUUGUGGAACGUCUAAAAUAAAUUAGGCGUUGGGUCGAUGCCCGAGUGGUUAAUGGGGACGGACUGUAAAUUCGUUGACAAUAUGUCUACGCUGGUUCAAAUCCAGCUCGGCCCAAC
rnacentral:tRNA from 1 species